rnacentral:rRNA from 1 species
GACGUAGGGGACGAGCGUUGUCCGGAUUCAUUGGGCGUAAAGCGCGCGUAGGCGGUUACGCAAGUCGGUUGUGAAAAUCCGGGGCUCAACCCCGGACCUGCAUCCGAUACUGCGUGACUAGAGGUAGGUAGGGGAGAUCGGAAGUUCCUGGUGUAGCGGUGAAAUGACGCAGAUAUCAGGAGGAACACCGGUGGCGAAGGCGGACUCUGGGCCUUACCUGACGCUCAGGCGCGAAAGCUAGGGGAGCGAACAGG